rnacentral:rRNA from 1 species
GCAAGUCGAACGAUAAAACUGUGCUUGCACGGGGGAUUAGUGGCGAACGGGUGAGUAACGCGUGAGUAACCUGCCUUUUACAUGGGGAUAGGCAAUAGAAAUGUGACUAAUACCGGAUACGACCUUUCACCGGAUGGUGUUAAAGAAGAAAGUUUUGGCGGUAGUAGAUGGGCACGCGGCCUAUCAGCUAGUUGGUGAGGUAAUGGCUCACCAAGACGACGACAGGUAGGCGGCCUGAGAGGGAGACC